rnacentral:rRNA from 1 species
UACAGGGGGGGCAAGCGUUGUUCGGAAUUACUGGGCGUAAAGGGUUCGUAGGUGGCCAACUAAGUCAGACGUGAAAUCCCUCAGCUUAACUGGGGAACUGCGUCUGAUACUGGAUGGCUUGAGUGUAGGAGAGGAAUGCGGAAUUCCAGGUGUAGCGGUGAAAUGCGUAGAUAUCUGGAGGAACACCGGUGGCGAAGGCGGCAUUCUGGACUACAACUGACACUGAGGAACGAAAGCCAGGGGAGCAAACGGGG